GAGACGAAACAGUGAUGUGGAGUAAAACUUAUAAAAGCGACCUCAGUUCGGAUUGAAGGCUGAAAUUCGCCUUCAUGAAGUCGGAAUUGCUAGUAAUGGCAGGUCAGCAUACUGCCGUGAAUACGUUCCCGGGCCUUGUACACACCGCCCGUCACACCAUGAGAGUUGGAGAUACCCGAAGCCUAUGAGCUAACUUUUAGAGGCAGUAGUCGAAGGUAGAAUCAAUGAUUGGGGUGAAGUCGUAACAAGGUACC
rnacentral:rRNA from 1 species